GUGUGGGUCACAGUGCAGCCUGCACAUCCAUUAGGCAAGGCCUCCCUGGAACAAUAGCAGUCACAGCCAUGGGGAGGUAACAGUCAUACAUUUAACACAGCUAUCUCAUCUUCCAUGGAUCUUUGCCAGCCUCUUGCCAAGAUAAAUUUUUCUUACCUUCAUAUCAGCUCAAAAGAUUUUCUCAGGAAGGGGAAGAGAGGGAAAAGUUGUCUGGGCACCCCAAGCAUUAUGACAUUCAAAAUGAUAAGGCACAAGCACAAAUUUGUGUGCAAAGAGCUCUCUAUCAGAUGCUGCCAAACUGAAAGAACAAAUUCUAUAGAGCACAUCAUAGCUGUUUGAAUUGGAGCAUGCAGUAAGCACUAUCACAGCAUCACACCUCUCUGGCAGUCAGAAAUUGCAGUUUCAGAGAGACAUGCCUCAGGAUGGAAACUUAACUUUUGUGAGAAAUUUGGUGCAAAGAAAAGGAGUUA